rnacentral:lncRNA from 1 species
AUUAUUUUUGUUCUUUUAGAUUUCAACAUUAAAUUUUGGUUGCAUUACUAUGAUUUUGAUGACAAUAUCAAAAGUCUAAACACACCUCCUAGUUUAAAAGACCUACAAGAAAUAUUAUUUAAAAACUGUAUUCCUAAUGUUUUAAAUGCAAAAUACGUUUUUCUAUUUUAGUCUGGCUAAGUUUUACUUUCUUCCCUGAGAGAAAGAAUAUGGAACAGCUGUAUGAUCUAUGCAAUAGUUGAUGCAAAACUACAUCGAAUCUCCAUGCUAUUUGCCAUAUCUUUGUCAACUGAUAUCAGUAAAAGCGCCAUGACUUGGUUUCUCAAACAUACAAGUGAGAUCACUCUCCUCAUGGGCAACCUUCAACAUGCUGGCAGACCAACCUUCCCCGUCUCAGAUUCCUCAUCCUCAUGGGGACCGGACCAACCCACCAGGAAGCAAACCCACUCUCACUCUUCUUGCUGCACAGAGCCAUGGUGGGAGCACUGUGGGAAAGCAAUCAAGACAGCAGAGUGAAUUAAUUUUCCGCUGUCAGAAUAAAGCUUCAUAACUCACGGAUGUGAAGAAUUGACAAGGAAACCUGCAGUCAAAUCAGGUUGUACUCAUCAGAGUCUCCUUAUCCCUGGAAAUAAUAUAAAC